CUAACACAUGCAAGUCAGGGAGAAUGGGGUAGCAAUAUCCCUAGUAAACCGGCGCAAGGGUGAGUAACACGUAAGCAAUCUGCCUUUUGGACGGGAAUAACUUCGAGAAAUCGAGGCUAAUACCCGAUAAUGCAGCGGCAUCGCAUGAUGACAGUUGUUAAAGGCCGUAAGGUGCCAAGAGAUGAGCUUGCGUCCCAUUAGCUAGUUGGCGGGGUAACGGCCCACCAAGGCGACGAUGGGUAGCUGGUCUGAGAGGACGAUCAGCCACACUGGAACUGAGACACGGUCCAGACUCCUACGGGAGGCAGCAGUGAGGAAUAUUGCGCAAUGUCCGAAAGGGUGACGCAGCGACGCCGCGUGAAGGAUGAAGGCCCUAUGGGUCGUAAACUUCUUUUGCGAGGGAAGAAUUUCCUGCUAUAGGCAGGAUUGACUGUACCUCGAGAAAAAGCAUCGGCUAACUACGUGCCAGCAGCCGCGGUAAUACGAAGGUGGCAAGCGUUAUUCGGAUUUACUGGGCGUACAGGGAGCGUAGGCGGUUCGGUAAGCCCUUUGUGAAAUCUCCAGGCUUAACCUGGAACAGUCGGAGGGGACUGCCGGGCUAGAGGACGGGAGAGGAGCGCGGAAUUCCCGGUGUAGCGGUGAAAUGCGUAGAGAUCGGGAGGAAGGCCGGUGGCGAAGGCGGCGCUCUGGAACGUUUCUGACGCUGAGGCUCGAAAGCG
rnacentral:rRNA from 1 species